GACGAACGCUGGCGGCGCGCCUAACACAUGCAAGUCGAACGGAGUCAAGAGGAGCUUGCUUUUCUUGACUUAGUGGCGAACGGGUGAGUAACGCGUGAGUAACCUGCCCUGGAGUGGGGGACAACAGUUGGAAACGACUGCUAAUACCGCAUAAGCCCACGGAUCUGCAUGGAUCUGCGGGAAAAGGAUUUAUUCGCUCUAGGAUGGACUCGCGUCCAAUUAGCUAGUUGGUGAGGUAACGGCCCACCAAGGCGACGAUUGGUAGCCGGACUGAGAGGUUGAACGGCCACAUUGGGACUGAGACACGGCCCAGACUCCUACGGGAGGCAGCAGUGGGGGAUAUUGCACAAUGGGGGAAACCUUGAUGCAGCGACGCCGCGUGGAGGAAGAAGGUUUUCGGAUUGUAAACUCCUGUCGUUAGGGACGAUAAUGACGGUACCUAACAAGAAAGCACCGGCUAACUACGUG
rnacentral:rRNA from 1 species